GCUCUCUCUUAUGGACUCUCAGUUUUCUUUUUAUGGUUUUUUUGAUCUUUGAUUUCUUAUGAGUUGUCUAGCUAGAAUAUUGGUUGAAUAUGUGUGAUUCAUGUUGCUACAGUAAUCAAGCCUGAAAUAGUAGCUGAUUUGGUGUCUGUAGUGAUUGUCAAAAAGUCUUGUUCGUGUUUUUUAUUAGGUCUUGAUAUUUAAGAGAUUCAUGUGUGGAUCGAUAACUAUUUCUGGGUUUGAUUGAGUUUUCCAGAACUGUUCUCUCUUUUUGGACGAUUUUCGUGUGCUUAGUAAUCAUGCUAAUCUUUGAGCCCCCUAGAUAAGGCGAUUGUCGAACUGGAUGAACAAUUUUAUGGUGUUCUUUUACAUUUUCUUGCACCUUGGUUGUUUUAUUUUGAUGUCUUUUAUUAAUUAUGUGAGGCAAAAAACCCUAUCAACUAGUAUUAGAGCCUUCGAGCUCUCUAGGGGUGCAACAAAAAUCUUUGGGUCAAUUUUUUCUUGGCUUGGCUUCUUUUUCUGGGGUGCAAGGUUUUUUUGAACAAAACACUUUGGGGUUCCUUUUAGAUUGUUUUCUUUUAAUAAAUUGAAAUAUCUAAUUCUUGUCUCUUUUGUGUUGUUGUUUAGAAGCGAAAACUUGGUGAAAGGUAGUGAGUCAACCACGGUUUACUCCCAGUAGAGGAAGAGUUUCCUGCCCUCGGGUUGAGACUAGCUUAGUGUUCUUGUU
rnacentral:lncRNA from 1 species